AUGUUAUUUUUAUUUUUAUGUGGUGUAAUGAUGUUAUUAUUCAUACUUUGUAUGAUACCUUGCUUUACAUUAUUGAUACGCCGGAUAAUAAAUGGUACAUUUUUAAUGACUUCAUUAAGAAAGGAAGGGGAUAUGUCAAUUAUGAUGCUUAAUAAUUGGAUUUCAUCAGUUUGUUCUUGGAGGGUCCAAUUCUUAAGCAUCAUAAUUGACAUAUUCCCUUCCUUUUUUAAUGAAGUUAUUACCAAUGUACUAUUUAUCACCCAGUGUAUUAAUAAUGUAAGACAAGGUAUCAUACAAGGUAUAGACAAUAACAUCUUUACACCACAUAACAAUAAAAAUAACACUCUUUUAACCCAUGGUCCACCAGGCAGCCAUGAAAAUAAAUCCCAUUCCAUAUCCUUCCAGGUUUGUGUUUGCUCGCUCACCUCCCCCCUCUCCUUCUCUGGGAUGGGAGAGAGAAAUGGGAAAGUGAAGCCUGUGAGUUGAGAUAAAAACAAGAAGAUAAUAACAAUAAUAAUAAUAACAAUAAUGAUGAUAAUAGUACUACUAGUAAUAAUGUGUACGAAACAAGUGAUGCACAAUGCAAUUGCUCACCACCUGCUGUCCGAUGCCCAACCUAACCCCGAGCAGUCCGGCCCUCCUCCCAGCCUGCCUGCUAGCAGGACAGUGAGAAGCUGAAUUUGGCUUGGUCCUUGGCUUGGUGUAAGCACUGCUCUGUAACAAUUAAAAACAAUUAAAACAUCAGCAUAUUAUUAACAUUCUUCUCAUCCUAAACCAGAACAUAACAUUCUAUCAGCUACUAGGAAGAAACACCCUUUUUAUCAAUCUUUAAACAGCAAUUACUAAAGCUAAAUUUUCCACAGACUUCUCCUUCUUGUGCUAGUAAAUAAUCCAAAGCUAGGCAAUUUUGAUACAAAGCAGUUCUCAUCUUUAUAACUAUUUCUAUUACAGCUUGUAACCUCAUUAUUCUAUUAAGUAUAUAUACUGGGGUCCUAUAGCCCCAGGAUCUGUCUUCUGCUCACGUAGCUGGAUCAUAAUAGGCAAACGCCUUCAGUCAAGGAGUUAGGCCCGCUUUCAGGGUCAAUUCAGGCUUGUGUUACCGUUCAGCCUGUCAGGGUGAUCCAGCUCCUGGAAAACGAAUCACAGUUUUCUUGGGACAACCUGACCUUAGUGUAGGAGAAGUCCAGUCGAGGCCCUCUCCCUCGGCAGUCAAUACUCAUAGGGGUUGCCUCCCUCGGUAGACCAUACACACCGCAGUGGAGGGUCCUGCCCCGGUCUUGCCUUCUCCCUUUCCUCCCUUCAGGCUUGUCCCCUUUAUUUGGCAUCCUUAAUUCAUGCAGAUUUUAGUAUUUACUUAGCCGUUCAUGAUUUUCGGGAUGAUUAGGGUCUCAGUGGGGUCGGUCAGGGGAAUGCAAUUGUCCACAGUUCCCUGAGCAGUCCCAUCGGUAAUCUGAGCUUGCACAUGAACUCAGGUUGUUUUAAGAGUUAACUGCUUUUCUGUUUCCAUAACAACUCUCUCUCGGACCCAUCAUGUUAGCCCCAAAGGGCUAACACCCCUGAUUUUAAGAUCUCUGCCUAGAGCAGAGGCAGAACUAUUAACAUUCCUACAUCCUCUUUCCCUGCUCAUUCAACUUCAAACACCUUUAACACUUUCAACAACCCUUUUAACACUUCCUUUAUCUUUCUCCAGCCUGUACUUCUCUAAUGCCAACAUCAAAGGCUCAGUCAGGGG
rnacentral:lncRNA from 1 species